rnacentral:rRNA from 1 species
UACGGAGGGUGCGAGCGUUGUCCGGAAUCACUGGGCGUAAAGGGCGCGUAGGUGGCCUGUGGAAGUCUGCGGUGAAAGCCCGGCGCUCAACGCCGGGUCGGCCGUGGAUACUCUCGGGCUCGAGCUUACUAGAGGCAGAUGGAAUUCCGGGUGUAGCGGUGGAAUGCGUAGAGAUCCGGAGGAACACCGACGGCGCAGGCAGCGCCCUAGACGAGACCUGACGCUCAGGCACGAAAGCGCGGGGAGCGAACAGG